rnacentral:rRNA from 1 species
UACGGGGAGGCAGCAGUGGGGGAAUAGUUGCACAAUGGGCGCAAGCCUGAUGCAGCCAUGCCGCGUGUGUGAAGAAGGACCUUCGGGUUGUAAAGCACUUUCAGUCGUGAGGAAGGUAGUGUAGUUAAUAGCUGCAUUAUUUGACGUUAGCGACAGAAGAAGCACCGGCUAACUCCGUGCCAGCAGCCGCGGUAAUACGGAGGGUGCGAGCGUUAAUCGGAAUUACUGGGCGUAAAGCGCAUGCAGGUGGUUUGUUAAGUCAGAUGUGAAAGCCCGGGGCGUCAACCUCGGAAUUGCAUUUGUAAACUGGCAGACUAGAGUACUGUAGAGGGGGGUAGGAAUUUCAGGUGUAGCGGUGAAAUGCGUAGAGAUCUGAAGGAAUACCGGUGGCGAAGGCGGCCCCCUGGACAGAUACUGACACUCAGAUGCGAAAGCGUGGGGAGCAAACAGGAUUAGAUACCCUGGUAG